GACGAACGCUGGCGGCGUGCUUAACACAUGCAAGUCGAACGGAAAGGUUCGGCUUGCAGGGUGCCCGAGUGGCGAACGGGGGAGUAACACGCGGGUGAUCUGCCCCUUACUGUGGGAUAAGCCUGGUAAACUCGGUCUAAUACUGUAUAGGACCAUGCUGUAGGUGGUGUGGUGGAAAGAUUAGGUUCGAUAAGGGUUGAGCUCUCGGCCUAUCAGCUUGUUGGUGGGGUAAUGGCCUAACAAGGCGUCGACGGGUAGCCGGCCUGAGAGGGUGGGCGGCCACAUUGGGACUGUGAUACGGACCCGCGUCCUAGGGGAGGCAGCAAUGGAGAAUAUUGCACAAUGGGCGCAAGGCUGAUGCAGCGACGCCGCGUGGGGGAUGACGGCCUUCGGGUUGUAAACUCCUUUAGGCCAUGAAGAAGCCCUUGUGGUGACGGUAGUGGUAGAAGAAGCACCGGCUAACUACGUG
rnacentral:rRNA from 1 species